rnacentral:rRNA from 1 species
UACGGAGGAUCCAAGCGUUAUCCGGAAUCAUUGGGUUUAAAGGGUCCGUAGGCGGUUUAAUAAGUCAGUAGUGAAAGCCCAUCGCUCAACGGUGGAACGGCCAUUGAUACUGUUAAACUUGAAUUAUUAGGAAGUAACUAGAAUAUGUAGUGUAGCGGUGAAAUGCUUAGAGAUUACAUGGAAUACCAAUUGCGAAGGCAGGUUACUACUAAUGGAUUGACGCUGAUGGACGAAAGCGUGGGUAGCGAACAGG